rnacentral:rRNA from 1 species
GACGAACGCUGGCGGCGUGCUUAACACAUGCAAGUCGAACGCUGAAGCACCAGCUUGCUGGUGUGGAUGAGUGGCGAACGGGUGAGUAAUACGUGAGUAACCUGCCCUUGCCUUUGGUAUAAGCCCGGGAACCUGGUUCUAAUACUGAAUGCUACAUGUCACCGCAUGUUGUUGUUUGGAAAGGUUUUACUGGUCUUGGAUGGGCUCACGGCCUAUCAGCUUGUUGUUGAGGUAAUGGCUCACCAAGGCGACGACGGGUAGCCGGCCUGAGAGGGUGACCGGCCACACUGGGACUGAGACACGGCCCAGACUCCUACGGGAGGCAGCAGUGGGGAAUAUUGCACAAUGGGCGAAAGCCUGAUGCAGCGACGCCGCGUGAGGGAUGACGGCCUUCGGGUUGUAAACCUCUUUCAGCAGGGAAGAAGCCACAAGUGACAGUACCUGCAGAAGAAGCGCCGGCUAACUACGUG